AGAAUGGAAAUUCAAAUUUGCAUCUACUAGGCGGGUGACAUGUUUAAGCCAAGCCGGUUAGGCCAUGAUUAAGGACGACAAUAUUGUUAAUUUCUAAAAAAAAGUAUGCCAUUUUAUUUACAGGCCAUGAAAGUUUAUGCUUAAUAGAGUUAGGCCCGUUGCUGCAGCCCAACAGAAUUGUAAAUGAUCAGUUUAUUAUGUAAGCCGAAC
rnacentral:misc_RNA from 1 species